AAAUCCAGUGGUGAGCUGACAGUAAGCCCUAGCUUUUAAGAAAGAGGACUGUCCUACAUGUGGAGCUAUGCCAAAACCAUGGGAACAACC
rnacentral:snoRNA from 1 species